ensembl:snRNA U6 U6 spliceosomal RNA
GUGCUCGCUUCGGCAGCACAUAUACUAAGGUUGGAGCGAUGCAGGGAGGAUUGGCAUGGCCCCUGCACAAGGAUGACACGCAGGUUCGUGAAGCGUUCCAUAUUUUU